rnacentral:rRNA from 1 species
ACGAACGCUGGCGGCGUGCUUAACACAUGCAAGUCGCACGGAAAGGCCCUGCUUUUGUGGGGUGCUCGAGUGGCGAACGGGUGAGUAACACGUGAGUAACCUGCCCUUGACUUUGGGAUAACUUCAGGAAACUGGGGCUAAUACCGGAUAGGAGCUCCUGCUGCAUGGUGGGGGUUGGAAAGUUUCGGCGGUUGGGGAUGGACUCGCGGCUUAUCAGCUUGUUGGUGGGGUAGUGGCUUACCAAGGCUUUGACGGGUAGCCGGCCUGAGAGGGUGACCGGCCACAUUGGGGCUGAGAUACGGCCCAGACUCCUACGGGAGGCAGCAGUGGGGAAUAUUGCACAAUGGGCGGAAGCCUGAUGCAGCAACGCCGCGUGCGGGAUGACGGCCUUCGGGUUGUAAACCGCUUUCGCCUGUGACGAAGCGUGAGUGACGGUAAUGGGUAAAGAAGCACCGGCUAACUACGUG